rnacentral:rRNA from 1 species
GAUGAACGCUGGCGGCGUGCCUAAUACAUGCAAGUCGAGCGACGCGGGGCCGGGUGAGUAACCCGUUGCUAACCUCCUAUAAGACUGGGAUAACUUCGGGAAACCGGAGCUAAACCGGAUACUUAUCUCUGGCUCCGCCGUGCAUUAGCUAGUUGGUAAGGUAACGUCUUACCAAGGCAACGAUGCAUAGCCGACCUGAGAGGGUGAUCGCCCACACUGGAACUGAGACACGGUCCAGACUCCUACGGGAGGCAGCAGUAGGGAAUCUUCCGCAAUGGGCGAAAGCCUGACGGAGCAACGCCGCGGGAGUGAUGAAGGUCUUCGGAUCGUAAAACUCUGUUAUUAGGGAAGCGGUACCUAAUCAGAAAGCCACGGCUAACUACGUGCCAGCAGCCGCGGUAAUAC